UACGAAGGGUGCAAGCGUUACUCGGAAUUACUGGGCGUAAAGCGUGCGUAGGUGGUGAGUUAAGUCUGUCGUGAAAGCCCCGGGCUCAACCUGGGAAUGGCGAUGGAUACUGGCUCGCUAGAGUGCGGUAGAGGAGAGUGGAAUUCCCGGUGUAGCAGUGAAAUGCGUAGAGAUCGGGAGGAACAUCAGUGGCGAAGGCGGCUCACUGGCUCGGUACUGACGCUGAGGUGCGAAAGCGUGGGGAGCAAACAGG
rnacentral:rRNA from 1 species